rnacentral:lncRNA from 1 species
AGAGGCCCCACCACGCGCCUUUCCACUCCCGACCCCACAGGACUGACGGCCACUCGGCUCGCUAACAAGGUUAAUCAAGGGAGCCAUUAAGGAGACAUCGAACACCCCAGAGUCAGCUCAUCUCAAGAGAAGUGUGUUCUGCCUCCCCUUGCUUUGCUGAAUUUACUGUGUUUACUUUUAAUUGCAUUUGCUCUGAGACCAUGAACUUCCAACGUGCCCUUACCGUUGCCGCCGAUCACACUCUACCUCCUCGUCCGUGUCUGUUCACACCGGGCUUUCACAUCCGUUCUGGAACGUUCUCUAAUUUGACAACACCGGACAAACACUUGUCAACACAACAGAAGAGGAAGACAAAGGUGAGAGGGCCUUAGGAAGUCAAAAAG